GGUGGUGGUUGUUGAUAUAAUAUAAAUAUAUGUUUUAUUUAUUUUUUUUUUAAGAAGAAAUCAAAGUAAAAAUUUCAUUAAGAGGAAACUGUAUACAUAUAUAUAUGAUACAGAUUUAGAUGUUUCUAUGUUUUUAUAUUUUUGUAUAGAAAGUCUAAUAAUAAUCUAUUUAUACAAAGAAUAAAAAAAUACAAUUUUGAUUUGAAGUAUUGAUUGAGUUGAUAGAACAUAAUAUUUGUGUAAAAGGUGAUCGCUUGCUUCACUUGGGCGCUAUUUAUAGCCAUUAUUCGACUCUAUAAGUCCAAUUUGAUUUCUUUCGAAAAUCUGCACUUAUUUUUGCAUAAACGCUAGGCAAAAUCAUCAUUAUAAUGACAAGAAUAACUUAUAAUUAGAUCUGACAACAAAACCAAAAUCUUGUUCUUCUAGAACCAAGAUCUUCCCUCUUGGCAAGAGAUUAUGAAUGGCUCCACGUAGCCAAUUUUGAUUGGUUCCCAGUAUAUAGGGUGACAAUAAAUCUCAAUAACUGAAUAAUAAUAUACAGAUUUGAGAAUUAUUUGCAAAAAUAUAAAUAAAAAAAGAAAAGAAAAAGAGGUGACCAUCAGUGAAAGCUCAUCGGCAGUCGCCCAUGGAAGGGAAGAAGAAAAAUAGAGAGCGCAUAGGUUUUUUUUUUUUUUUUUUGGAGAACAAAUAAUUACAUCAACUUGAUUAGAUUGACGAAAUUAUUUUAUUUAACUAUAUUAAAUGAGAGAUAACAUAUUAAAGUUCACAUAUUAAACGUUAUAAUUAUUAUGACUAGAGAUUUUUCAAAGAAUUUAUAGAAAGAAAAUUAAAUUUUCAAAAUCCUUUUGGACGUUCAAAUCAUGUAGAAAGACGAUAAAAGAAAAUUUAAUCCAUCCUAAUGAAUAGUAACGUUCUUACUAAAAAAUGAUUGAGUAUUUAAAUUAACAUGAAAUAUAAAAUUAUAAAAUAGAAUGUAGUCACAUAAUUAUUUUAAAUGAUUAAUUAUAGUAUAUAUAUAAUUAAUUAAGAAAGGCAAAUUCCCAAGGUCCUGUCAGUCACCGACGCGUGACUCUAAACAGACCCCACUUAGAGACCUCCUUUGGUAGUUGACACAUGGGAUGAUAAUUUAACCUACCAGAUUUUGGCGGGUUUAGGUAAUAUAGAAACGGAUUUGAGGUGGGUUUGGAUUGUGAUUUUAAUACAUGCAUUGGGUUUGGAGUGGAUAUGAGUUCAGGUGGGCGAGUAGUGGAUCAUUUAAAUUAAUUUAACUCCAAGCUACUUAAUAUUCUUGUAUAAUCUUUUUUUUUUUUAAAUCUUGUAUAAAAUAUACGUACAAUAUAUAUAUACCGAUAACUAUAAUAAUUUAUAAUUUAAAUAUUUAUUAAUGAAUAAAAUAUUAUUGGAAGUAAUAUAAUCUUAUGAAUAAGUAAACUUUUAAUAAAAUUAUGUCAAUUAAAUUAUAAUAUUUUAAUAAAUUGAAUUUAGUUUUUUUUUUUCAUAAAAUAUAUUAAACAAAAUCAUAUAUUUAGUAUUCAUGUCGUGUUUUAAUAAUUUAAUUGAAUAUUUUAUUGUUUGGUAAUUAUGAAAUUUAUUAAACAUAAAAAAAGUUUUUAAUUGAAUAGAAUGUUAAUAAUGUUAUAAUUAAAAUUUUUUAAAGCUACUUAUCAACAUCAAUAUUAAACUUUUAAUGAUAAUUAUAAUUCUAUCUUAAUUUGAAAUAUAACUCGUGUGAAAUGUGAAAUCUAGAUAGACUUUUAGUAAAUUAUAAUAUAACUCAUAUAAAAUAUCACUAAUAAAUUUAUAGACAUAAUUACAAUUAGAUAUUAGUAAAUAUCUUUUUAUUUUUUUAUUAGUAUCAUUAUAUAUACUAGUAUACUUAAACUUAGAAGUCUACUGUAUAUAUGUCACGACCCAUUUUAUUUCAUCGAAAUUUCUGAACGUUCUGUUUUUGGGCUUGGGCUCAAUUCAAAUUUGGGCUCAAGUUAGAAAUGCUCGGUCUUCACGACCCAUACUAUAAAAAAAAUUCGAAUUUUUGAUUUAAUAAAAAAUUCUAAAGUUUUGAAAAUAAAAAUUCGGGAUAUUACAAUCUCCCCCCCUUAAGACAAUUCGUCCUCGAAUUGAAUCUAGUGGGAAAGAAUAAGAAUGGAUGCAUGGAAAUUUUAAAGUUAUAUGAAAUUGCUUCCAAUACCAAGGAGACAGCUCGCGAGCAAAAAUAUAAAUCGAGGAAACGAAGUGAAUGAGGUAUUCUGCUUGUAUUUCUACCACCAAUCAUAUUUAAACCAAAAUUUCGUUCAAGCUAUACAAUACCACCUAGCUGAUACUUAUAGGAAGCUUUGUUACUUUAGCCUCUAAACUAUCAUCGGACAGUUGCUAGAAAAUCUUUCUUUAAAUAAAAAUCUUACAAUUAACCGAGCUUUACAACAAAAUGCUUAAUACUUAUAUUUUUCCCAAAUUAAAUUUUAUUACACAUUUCUUUAUGAAAACCAAAUACAUAAUUUGCAAAAAGUAAAACAAUUUGAAAUUUAAUUUGAUUUAUUUAUUUAACAUAUAUUAUGACGAAAUCUUUGCUUAAUCAAAGUCGAAAAACUGUUACUUUAAUCCAAGAUUUUAAGAAAAAUUUUCUUGAAAUUUUCAUUGUCUACAGGGUUAUUCGAGCUCACUCUCAGUUCUUUUAUACAAGUUCUAUUCUUGUUAAAAUACUUUUAUCGUACACUAGCGCAAUUAUUUAAAUAGCUCAUUUACUAUGGACAUUCCUGCACUAUUANNNNNNNNNNNNNNNNNNNNNNNNNNNNNNNNNNNNNNNNNNNNNNNNNNNNNNNNNNNNNNNNNNNNNNNNNNNNNNNNNNNNNNNNNNNNNNNNNNNNNNNNNNNNNNNNNNNNNNNNNNNNNNNNNNNNNNNNNNNNNNNNNNNNNNNNNNNNNNNNNNNNNNNNNNNNNNNNNNNNNNNNNNNNNNNNNNNNNNNNNNNNNNNNNNNNNNNNNNNNNNNNNNNNNNNNNNNNNNNNNNNNNNNNNNNNNNNNNNNNNNNNNNNNNNNNNNNNNNNNNNNNNNNNNNNNNNNNNNNNNNNNNNNNNNNNNNNNNNNNNNNNNNNNNNNNNNNNNNNNNNNNNNNNNNNNNNNNNNNNNNNNNNNNNNNNNNNNNNNNNNNNNNNNNNNNNNNNNNNNNNNNNNNNNNNNNNNNNNNNNNNNNNNNNNNNNNNNNNNNNNNNNNNNNNNNNNNNNNNNNNNNNNNNNNNNNNNNNNNNNNNNNNNNNNNNNNNNNNNNNNNNNNNNNNNNNNNNNNNNNNNNNNNNNNNNNNNNNNNNNNNNNNNNNNNNNNNNNNNNNNNNNNNNNNNNNNNNNNNNNNNNNNNNNNNNNNNNNNNNNNNNNNNNNNNNNNNNNNNNNNNNNNGGUGUACUGGGUGAUCAGGCCAUUACACCAAUUUCCAACUGAUCCUCUACUUCAAAAUUUUAUAGAGGGGAUUUAGCAAACUCAAAAUAUUUCGUUUAUAAAUGUCAGUUACCCAGACCUAUUUUAAUUUCCUAUUAUUUAUGUACCUUUAGUUCUCAUCCUAAGUUUGAUACAGAUUUCCUUCCAUCCUCGUGCACGAUGCGUCCAUCGGCACUAAAAUGGAAUUCAAUCCAGACUACAGCUCCUUUGUUGGUUACGGCCGAUCCCAACAGAGGAGUUCUCUAUUUAAAUUCCUAUGUUCCGCAAUUGAUUCCUAAGUCCCAACUUACGCUCUGAUACCAACUUUGUCACGACCCAUUUUAUUUCAUCGAAAUUUCUGAACGUUCUGUUUUUGGGCUUGGGCUCAAUUCAAAUUUGGGCUCAAGUUAGAAAUGCUCGGUCUUCACGACCCAUACUAUAAAAAAAAUUCGGAUUUUUGAUUUAAUAAAAAAUUCUAAAGUUUUGAAAAUAAAAAUUCGGGAUAUUACAAUAUAGAUUAAGGAUUACAGCAACCAUAAUUAAUUACAACCUACUAGGUAUAAUAUCUAAUAAAAAAAUAUUAAACUUAAUACUUUGUAUAAUAUUUUGUUAUUACACUUACUAUAAUAUUGAAAUAUAAUUAUAGCCUUAUAAUUAAUUAAUAAUUAAUAACUAAUAAUAACAAUAAUAAUAAUAACAACUUUAGGAAUAAUAAUAACUUUAAUAAUAAUAAUAACAAAAAUAACUAUUUUACCGUCAAAACGACGUAAUUUUGGUGUAGGAGGUUUAAUUGAAUCCACAACCAACACAACGUCGUUUUAGCCUAGGGUUGGAUUUUAAUCAUACAAACAGAAAGUUCUCUCAAACUCAAGUUAAACGUAUUCUCCUCCCUCCUCCCUUCCCUGCGCCGCUCGUUUUCUUCACUUCUACAGCCACUGUCUUACUUGAAGACCUUCCCGUUGCUUUCGUUCUUGGCCAUCGCCUCCGCAGCAGAUGUGCUCUUCAAGUGUACAAGUGCUCUUCAGCCGCAGGUUCGUUCUUGAUUUUUUUUUUAUUUCAUUCUCAUUUUUUAUUUUCGUUUUGCAUCGUUCCUUUUUUUUUUCUAUUUUAUUUUUGUAAACACGUAUAAAAAGACAGAAAGGAGGAAUUGUUGAAUUAAUUUAUGGGUUCAGCUUUUUGUACAAAAUGUAAAAUCUCUACAUGCAAAAAAUAAAAUGUAUUUCUGCAACAAUUCCAUUUGUUUGAUAUGAUGAUAAUUUGCUUUUACUCUUAAUUCGUUGAUGUCUUGAGAAUGCUAUGAUUGUACCAAUUUAUGAAUGGCCAUUAUACAAGGGAAUUUAGAUUUGCGGAAUUGUAAUAGUUGGUGAUUAAACGGGUAUUUAAACGGAUUCGGCUAGUACGCGGGGUAUUUCUAAACGGAUUUGGGACGGGUUUGGGUAUUAUUGGUUUGUUUCUUAACGGAUUCGGGUGCUUACAUUAUUAACGGAUUCGAAUUCGGAUAGUUUAUUUUUUGCGGGUACCCGCCCCGCUGCCAACCAAGUUGACACUGACGCAACCUUUGAACCGCCUUUAAGAGUCCAUUAAUCUUGCGUCUGCUUCGCUGCGCACGCCUUAAACUGUAUUUUCGUUGCUCGCAUACAGUCAUUAACCACCACGAUUCUGUCAGUCACCAGCUCGACUAUUAACACCGGAGGUGGCAUUCGCUUUUUCAGCAUAACUUAGUCGAUCCCAAUUUUUUGUCUGCGUAAGUGUUAAUUGAUCUUUCUUUGUGUGUUACGGUUUUAGGGUUUUGUUUAAAGCUUCCUCUAUUAAUUCAUUUUGGGUUAUUUUUGUUGUUUCUUGAAUUUUCUAUCACAUAAAGAGUUCAAAUUCUCUCUCUCUCUCUCUCUCUCUCAUGCAAUUUCAAGAUUUUGGCAUGAGAUGCUUUCAAGAUUAUUUUUUUCAUUUGGAGUCUUGUUUCUAGGAAUUCUGUUGAUUUUCCAUAUAUUUUGAUGAAACUGAGCAAGAUAUGCUGUAGGUUUCUAUUGUUCAUUUAUGCUUUAGCUUGCUUGUCUAGGGAACUUUCUUUUUUCGUUUUUGUGUGCAUUUAUAUUUCUAAGGAUUAGCUGGCUCUGAAGUCAAGUGUAGCUGCCCUUUCCUCAUCUAUGGACGGAGAUGGGUAGAUUGAGCUUGUGCUAUCAAGCCGACAAUUAACUGCUCUUUAGUUAUUUUGUUUAUCAUGGCAUCCAUUUUUUGUCAUUGAAGAAAGGAAAAUGUUAACCGUGCAACUUUAUGAGUCAAAUGAUUUUAUGUUCUUUCAGUGAACAAAUCAUGAGAAGAGAACAUUUUGAAGUUUGAAUUUUAUGUUCCUUGCUAUAAAGAUGACUACAUUUAAUUCAGUUUAUUGGAUACUCCCUUUGUCACAAAAUAUAUGUUGUUUAAGGUUAUUGCAGAAAGAUUGAGGAAGCAAUUAGUUCUCCUAUAUUAUAACAAAUUCAAGGGUAAUUUGCCCAAAUUAUCCUUUAUCUCAAAACCAAUAGUUACUUUUGAAAGUAUUUAUUGUAACUAAUCUAAACAAGGCUAACAUCGGAAAAACAUCAUUUAUUAUUUUUUUAAAAAUACUCAAAACGACUUAUAUUUUGGGACAACAUAAUCACUCAAAAAUGACUUAUAUUUUGGAGUAAAGGGAGUAAUUGAAAUAAAGGUGAACUCAUCUAGACUAAUGCUUAGUUUCAAAAUAGUUUGAAUCAGCUAUGUGAAUGGUUUUUUCCCCAUUUUUCUUGGACUGCAUCCUACAAGUUAUACUAUGUCUCCAAUUUCAGGGGCAAAACUAGGUUAUAGGGUGGGGUGGCUGUGGUCCCACUAAGAUUUUUUCUAAUUAUAGUUUUAUAUUUUAAUAACCCCCCCCCCCCCCCAAAAAAAAAAAAAAAAAAAAAAAAAAAAAAUCCUCCCCGAUAAAACAUGUUUUAUUUUAGUUUAAGUUACUACAUUAUCUUGGUUAGCUUUCUUCAUAUUGUCUGACCUCUGUCUUAAAAAUUAAAGAUUAGCUUCCCAUUGUGCAGAAAUUAAUGAUCCCUCCAAGUUUUGUUUUGGUUUUCAGUUGCAUUUUCCUAUCUUCCAAUUGAUUUUCACUUGUAUCCUUUCCACCAUCCCACACACGGCCACCCCCCCCCAAAAGAAAAAAAAAAAAAAAAAAAAAAGAUGUGAAGUUCUAGUUAUUACCUUGUUUAGUUGCUUUGCCAUGGAAAUCUCAAUAACUAAACUUUUUACUAAGAGAUUAUUUUGUUGCAGAUGAAUGUAUAAUAAUCUUGGAGCAAAUUAAUAUGGGGCCUGAUUUGGAGAAAUCAAAAGCUUUGGCUAGUAAAGACAAUGGAGGCGUAUCCCAAGUUCAAGAAGAUAAGUUUGCGAAAUGUAUAAGUAAUUAUGAGGACAAUAAUUUCCAUGAGGAAGCUUUAAAUUAUGACCAAGCUAAACUAAGCGAGGAUAUGGAUAUUAAUAUAAUUGAGUGUACAAAAUCUGGUGACAAUGGACAAAUUGAAGCUCGAUGUGAGGAUGCAACUGAGAGUAUGAGUUCUUUUGGUGACACAUUAUCUGAGACUGAGAAUCUUGCAGUGUUAGGUGAUGCUGAAGUUGAAUCACAGUGCUGUCUCUGUGAUGCAGCAGCAUCGGUAUUUGAUGGAGGAGCAUUUCAAAUGAGGUACUUACUGUUUGAUUCAAUUGGUUCAUUACAUUUUAAUGCUCAUGUGUAGGUAACUUUCUGAUGAAAGAUAAAGAUAUGUGAUAUCAUGGCCCUCUAUUUUGGUGUAUAGUAUUGUGAGUCAUUGUCAACUAACUUUUCUUGGUGAAAUGACUUGUUUGUUGUGUAGCUGGAGGAAGUAUAGUCAUCCAUAAUUAAAAGAAAGUUUUACUACCUUCUUUUGUAGAAAUAUUAACGAUGAUCUUUUUGAUGAUGAAUUUGGGAUGUAUUUGAGCAUAUUUAAGUUGGGGUUUCUCUUCAAAUUUUUCUCUAUUCUCCACAGUAAUAUUAGCGCAUCAUUGUUUUUACUUUGUUUUGGAUUAUAAGCUGCAUCAUUGGUAAGUGAGAUCAAGGGUGGAGAGGGAGCAUCUCGGUUUUGCCUAUAGUAACUUAUCUUUAAAUGUUAACUCAGUUUAUCCUUAAUACAUGAUGCUCAGUUCAGUUGUGAGUAUAAUAUGGGCAAAUUAUCUUAAGAAUCAUUAAAUCCAAUAACUAAAUUAAUGUGAUUACAUGGAUUGCCUCCACCUCUUGUUAAAGAAGCACAAGAAUUGAAAAGAUUAACUAGCCAUUGUAAGUGUUCUGGAACAUUUGUCUUUGACUAAGGUUUUUAGUUUGAAACCUGCAUGGCGGAGGAUUUUAACCAUCACUGACAUUCAGAAAAGGGAACAAAACCAUGGAACAAUGAGACUAAACGAAAACGCUGUCAAAUCCACUCGUUGCCUUUUACUAAAACACUUUGGGUUACGCAAUUAUGGAGGUUGGCUUGCUGCUAAAGUCCCAACUUGUGAUUGGUCACAGGUCUCUUGAUAGUUGACUUCCUUCCCUUGUGGGCUAUUUUGAAUUAACCAUAAAAUUUGCUCGUGACAACGAGCUUAUUGGAGAGAACUUCUGAUCUCCUAAAACCAAACUUUUAAGUUUAAUCUUUGCGCCUUUUGUUCACGCCCAUGUUCUUUAAAUAUCAUGGCAGUGGACAGAACCAACUAUAAACUAGUAAACUAGAAAACUGAAAAUAACAACCUAUAAGGAAGCUAGAAAUAACUGCCAAUUAUGUAGAAAAACUACACUACAGCCACAAACUGAUUUAGCUACUUAAUCCAAGCUUUCAGCUGCUGCUGCUAAGUUUUCAUUACCAUGGGUAUAAUGCCUAUAAACAUAUCCAAACAAGAUAAUUUUAAUACUCCUUGAACCAGUGUCCUCAGUUUGCUGUGUUGAUUCCAGGUUCUUAACACUUCCUCUGUUCUCCGUCAUGAGAAUUUCUUUGGUAGUUGCUCCAAGUUUGUUGGCAUGGAAGGUUAUACACUACUAUUUUCGCAAGAAUUCAGUAGUUUCAAUCCCUCUUUUUUGAAGGGAUUUAAUAGGAGAGCCUUUAGGCGCGGAUCUUUCUCUAUGCUUAAAGACAUCUUGAUUAGUACCUUUUACUUCAGUGUGCAGUACUAUAGAUAGGCAAACUGCUCUUGACUUCUUAAUCAUGUAACUUAAUAUUGACUUUAUUUUUGUUAUUGGGGUAUGCUUCCUCUUGGACCCAUCAAUGCUAUUUACCACAAUCUUUUGUGUUUCAAACAUGUGUGCUGCACCUAGACUAAGUUAUUGGUUAAUCUUUGAGUAGCGCUGUUACACCAUCAGGGAUGAUUUUUGUACAAUGAUCUAGGUCUUAGAUUCCUUGUGGAGUGAUGGAAAAUUGCCCUGCGCAUAAAGGCAGCAUUGACCUUUCCUUGGAAAGUCUUAAUGGGAUUGCACAUGUAGCUCUAUUACAGAUAAGCUGAAAGAUCUAUGUCCACCUUGUUGUCGGGCAAUCCUUUAGGGGGAUUGCCGCUAAAAAUUCUCUCAUGUCUUAACACCACUUCUGUUUCUAAUUUUCAAUAUACUGAAGGAGAAUUGAUUAUGAUAAUAAAAUAUCCAAUGAUUCCAUCUCAGAAAAAGUGUAAAUACCAAUUUGAUCCUUUAAGUGGACUGAUGUGGUUCUCUCUUUCUGGUAGAGAAAGCAUUAAUUGUGCUCCUCUCUAUUGACUUCCUCCUUAUUUUACAUGUUUGAAUUUCCAUGGUUAUACAAAGGAAAAUUAGCUUUUGGAGUCAAUUUCUAAUUUUAUCAUUUCAUUGAAUAUUCAUGCUUUGUUCAACUAUGGAAUAUUCAGUCCCUUGUUUAAUUUAUUUUCUCCAAUUGUUCAGGAGGAAAAAGUUGACAGACCAUUGGAGGAGAUUUAUACGUCCUCUUAUGUGGCGAUGCAAGUGGAUAGAAUUGCAAAUUAAAGAAUUUCAGUCCCAGGCGCUUAAGUAUGACAGAGAACUUGCAGAACAUGAACAGAGAAAGCAGUUUGAUUAUGGUACGUUUUUAAUAGAAGGAAUUGAUGCAAAGUCAACACCAUUUUCAAGUUGUACUAAAAGGAACAAAGUCAUGAAAAGAAAGAAAAGAAAAAGAAUUGAGGAGGCAACUGACAUAUCAUCAUAUAUGCUACAACAUAACCUCUUUUCCUAUUAUGGUAAGCAUUCCGAUUUGCCUAUUACCUGUAGCAUUUGCAUCCCGAUGACAAGCAUUUUCCUAGGAGAGUAAUGUCUUUUCAUAUUCCCUUUUCUUAUUCUUUUCCCCUUUUCUUUCUUGACCAGAAACUAGGAAGUCUUCUGCCAAUGGUGCUUCUAUGAAUGACAAUUGCAGCAAUAAUCCAGGUAAGGAGUUAAAAUUUGUUUUGACUUCGUUUUUUAACUGAAAUUUUUAAAUGAUAAAACUGAGUAAUCUAGAAAUGCCUUAUAUACUGUGUUUAGCAUCUGUUCAUGGAUUUGAUGCUUCCAUAUGCUAGUCUUUGAUACAUUUCCUUUUGAGCCUCAACUUGAUUGAAGUAGUUAGUCUAAUAAAGGACUAGAGACAAUCACACGUUAGCAAAUGUGUGCAUGUAUUCUAACAUGUUUCUAUAUGAUGACAACAACAUAUAGCUCUGUGUGAUAGAGAGCGCACUUCUGAUUACUUGAUUGUGAGACGACGUGCAUCAAAAUUUACCUUGUUUUCUUGAUGUUGAUUGUAGAAUUUAUUGUUUUGUCUUCCCUUUUAAACAACUUCUUCCAGUUUCUCUUUCAAGUUUCUACAUAUUUGUACUUCUGAUGUUUUUUGUUUCCUGCAAUGGUAAAGUAUACCUCAUUAUUAUUCAAAUCGAGACUAAGUAGAAGAUUAUAAGCAAAAUUGAUAUUAUGCUGUCAGAAUUUAGAGUUGGGUUUAUUGGCAUAAAGAUCUUAAAUAUUAUUCCAAAAAAGAUGGUGCCAUGAAAAAUAGAAUUGAUAUAAUGAUUGGUCAAGUGCUUACAUUCAUCUUGAACUUUCUUAUUUCAAUCUUGUGGGACCUCAAGUUUGAUAAAGAUCUAUUAUACACUUGAACUUAUGAAUUUUGGACUUUGCACACCUUCCUGCACAAAUAAUAACAUCUUUUAGAGUUUUUGGCUUUUAUGUGCAAAACAUGAUUUGAUGUAUGAUGAGCACUACUUCUGAACAAUAAUUUUUUCAUUUUUCAACGAUCUAAUAAGUAUUUAACUAAUCUAAUUUUCUAAGUUGACGUGUUCAAUAAAAUGAUGUUGCGAACUAAAGUGUUUAACAAAUGUAAUUUCAUAAGUUGAAGUAUUCGAUGGUUCCAAGAAAAAAUUGAGAGUUCUAUAAGGUUAAAACAAUAAAGUGCAGAGGUAAAUUUAUGUAUUCAGCCUAUAAUGAAUGGAUGUUAUCUAGAUCAGAAACUGCAUGCUGCACACACAUCGGGAAACUUUUUUUUUUUUUUUUAAAUUAUAUAUUCUCUAUUGACUAUUAUUGCUAAAAUUCAGUUUAUCAUGUGCCUAACUUUUCUUAUCUGGGUCUUUUUCAGAUAAGGCAAUCAAUGUUAAUGAUGAGUUUGGCUUUCAAGAUGGAUGGGCAUCUCUUGAGACCAAAGGAAUUGAUAAUAUCUGUGAAAAUAUUCUUUUGAAAAUUGAAGCAUUACAAUUGCUAGUUCGCAAGUUGAAGGUCCGGAUUGAGAAGGUGGUGAGUGAAAAUCCUGGGAAGUUUGCUUCUGUUAAUAGGCUGAUCAUGCCUGUAUCUUGUGAUGCAUUGACCAGUUCUGAUCAAAAUCCUGCUUCCCCUCUUGAAAAUGAUGAUAGAAUGCCUGUUAGAUCUCUAUACACCAUCUCACAGUUUCUCCCUGAAAGUGCUGUUUCAAGUCACGGAGAGGUCACCACUCAUCCUGAUAUGAUUGAAAGCACAGAUCAGCCUGUGGUUGGGGUUUCAUGUGAAGAUGUAAGUUUCAUCUCUCUCUCUCUCUAUCCCCAACCCCCCCCCCCCCCCUUUCAAAAAAAAAAAAAAAAAAAAACCAAUCCAUUCUGCCGUCCUUUCGUGCUAGAUAAACAGUGUUGUUAAGUGUAUACUGGGCAAUGCUUCUUUCAUUCCCUGGCAUAUUUUUGGUGUAUACAGCACUUACAACGGGAGGUGCUGAAGGCUUAAAAUACUCGCCUUUACUUGUCUAUUUCUGUUAAGGAUUAGUUGUAAAUAGAGUUCUAUUAGGAGUUAGAUUCCUAAUUAGUUUAUGAUUUGUAUUCCUAAAUAGCUAGCGUAGGAAUUCCUUAUAUAUAGACCUAUGUAAUCGAUUGAUGAGAUACAAGAAAUACAAUUACAAUAUAUUCUCUCAACAUGGUAUUAGAGCCUUCCAUUAAAAAAAAAAAAAAAAAAAUCCCCAAAACCCCCUUAUNNNNNNNNNNNNNNNNNNNNNNNNNNNNNNNNNNNNNNNNNNNNNNNNNNNNNNNNNNNNNNNNNNNNNNNNNNNNNNNNNNNNNNNNNNNNNNNNNNNNNNNNNNNNNNNNNNNNNNNNNNNNNNNNNNNNNNNNNNNNNNNNNNNNNNNNNNNNNNNNNNNNNNNNNNNNNNNNNNNNNNNNNNNNNNNNNNNNNNNNNNNNNNNNNNNNNNNNNNNNNNNNNNNNNNNNNNNNNNNNNNNNNNNNNNNNNNNNNNNNNNNNNNNNNNNNNNNNNNNNNNNNNNNNNNNNNNNNNNNNNNNNNNNNNNNNNNNNNNNNNNNNNNNNNNNNNNNNNNNNNNNNNNNNNNNNNNNNNNNNNNNNNNNNNNNNNNNNNNNNNNNNNNNNNNNNNNNNNNNNNNNNNNNNNNNNNNNNNNNNNNNNNNNNNNNNNNNNNNNNNNNNNNNNNNNNNNNNNNNNNNNNNNNNNNNNNNNNNNNNNNNNNNNNNNNNNNNNNNNNNNNNNNNNNNNNNNNNNNNNNNNNNNNNNNNNNNNNNNNNNNNNNNNNNNNNNNNNNNNNNNNNNNNNNNNNNNNNNNNNNNNNNNNNNNNNNNNNNNNNNNNNNNNNNNNNNNNNNNNNNNNNNNNNNNNNNNNNNNNNNNNNNNNNNNNNNNNNNNNNNNNNNNNNNNNNNNNUUGUCCUAAUUCUGCUGCUACUAUUUGGUUUGGGAUUCUAUAUUGCUAUAAUGAAGUGGGUACAGUUGCUGAGUAUGGUAUUGUGCUUUGCUGAAAGUAAUAGUUUGUAACAAGUUGAGCAUGAUUAUCAUCUAUGCUCCAACUUGAGGGGGAGUGUUAAGGAUUAGUUGUAAAUAGAGUUCUAUUAGGAGUUAGAUUCCUAAUUAGUUUAUGAUUUGUAUUCCUAAAUAGCUAGGUAACAUAGGAAUUCCUUAUAUAUAGACCUAUGUAAUCGAUUGAUGAGAUACAAGAAAUACAAUUACAAUAUAUUCUCUCAACAAGUUCAUUUGUUAUCAUUUGUCUCAGUCUGAUCAUGGUUCUAAAUGCUUCUUGAUAACAUCUCUUAGCCAGCUACAUGGAUUCUCUUCAAGUCAGUACAAUGUACCUUUUCGUUGUCUCACUAUUUGUACUGCUUUAUACUGGCAGCUUUGGCAAAAAUUUUCAACUCCAUGUAUUGUUGGGCUUGCUUUAUGUAAUGCAAAUAAAGGGUUGAUGGAGAGGUCUUGCUUGGGUAAGAAUAAUUGAAUGUGAGAGCUCUAAGACGUCCCAGGUUUGAUAUAUGAGAGAGUAAUAAUUACUGUCGAGUUGAGCUAUAGUUGGUAUACUAUUAGGAGCAAUCUUGUACAAUGGGUGCAUCAAAAAGCUUAAGCUAUGCUUAGCUGAUGCUUGUUAUUUAGGUGACUGUUUUGGCAACAAUUGGCCUCAAUUAAUAUCAUGUAGUGAUAGUGCCCCAUCCCAAAUAUACAUGUUAGCUAAUACUAGAAAUUGCUAUUUGUAAUAGAAACUCUGUGCUGAUAUAUGGGAAUGAGCCAGUGCUAUAUAUCUCAGUUGUCUAGAAAAACCAGAACAUUUAUUAUUGUGGUAUUGAGAACUUGGUGCUGACUUGCUUCCAGUUUGUGUGAUCAUAUAUCGUUCUUGUCCUUGUCCUUGUCCUGUCAGCUAGUGAGUUGAAAAUUUUCACAUUCGUACUGUGCCAACUCCAUAAAAAUUUUCUAUCAAGAUAUUUUCUUGGUUCAUAAGAUUUCAGUGGUAUGAUUGUUGCCGCUACUCAUAUUGGCAAUUAUAGCUUUGGUCGUGGGAGUCACAGAUUAUAUUCAUUUUCACGGGACAAUUUCUGUGUAGAAUUUGGAAUUGAUUAAUGUUUUGAUGUUUUGUGGACCAGCAUGUUUUUCUUCUUUUUAAAUUGUAUUGCCACCCAUCUAUUACGAGAGUUAUUUAUAACUGAUGUGUCCUUCAUUUCUGCAGACUAAAGAAGGAAUUCUAAUAAAUAAUCAGGCAGCAAAGGAAGAGAUGCAAGACUUGAAUAUGUUCAGAAACGAGGUCACAGAGAAGCAUCAGGUAGAGACAGAAGAGCAGACAUCAUGCGUUCCUGAAGCUACUAACAUAUCCACAGGUACAACUGUGCCUCGUGUAAAUUUUGGUGGAAAAACACUUCCAAAAUCCAGGAGCAAUCUUUCCAAUGACAAGAAGAAGACGGGGAGGAGAAAAUCUGGCAGAGGUGGCCGGAACCGUAAAUCCUGAGCUUAGCUGGAUAAGUGAUUUAGAUGUCUCGAGUACAUAAAAGACUGAAACUUCUUCAAAAGUUGUUGGAAGUAACACUUUUGCAAGAUGAUAAUUGUAAAUGCUGAUGCAUUUUCUGAUGUGUAUCUUCCCGCUGCCCAUCUGCUGCUUACAUAUUUGUACAUGCUCCAUAUUCAUUAGGUCUCUUAUCUAUGCUGUAGAGCAUUGGAUGCUUUGUUUAGAGAUGUGCUAUUAUUUUAAUACAAUUAUAAUUUUGUUUGUGGAAAUAUUUUUUAGAUUAGUGAGAAUUUGCAGAAUGUGUACACUGGAGAAGCACAGUUGUUAGGUCCCUCCUUGAAGCUAACAGCUCGAUCCGAGCCAGGAAUUGAAUUGGAUAGUGAAAACUGCUAGAUUCAUAUGAUAUCAUGGAUUUCUUUCUUACAUUGACCAUAUGCGUUUCGUCUCUCUCCUUUCUCCUUUGUGUAGCAUAAUGACUCGUCUCUUUUACUGUUCAAAUCUGCAAAAUGGGGAUGUUUUUUGAGUCUCAUGGGAGAAGUUAUGUGAUUGUAUAUUUGUCACAGGACUUAAUAUUUUCCCUUAUCUCUUCAAUUUGACACUACAGGAAUGCUUGUUAAUAUUUCAAUGUUUGACUGUUUUAGGUUUUCCUUCAACGCAUUCCACAAGUUUUUGUGAUAAUAACACUGUACAAGCAAUUCUUAGAUAAAGAUUCGCUUAUUAGUCUGAUGGAUUGGAUUGAUAUGUUUGAUACUGCAAAAAGAAAAAGUCAAAUAAAUCAAAUAUACAAAUUAAGAAGUUUUUAUAACAUUCGCCAAACACAAGUAGCAAUGAUGUCCUGUGUCCGUAUCAGAAUGCAGAUGCAAUCCCAGAUUCCUGAAGAGGUUGAGCAAGAAGUCUGUUCAGGAGCGCAAACACUCCUAGGAAAUGCGAAAAUAGUGAAAUAUGUUUGCUGUGAGAGAUCUAUCGAUCCAGUCAAAAGAAGUAAACUUUCCAUCUUAUGUUAAGGACUUCUUUUCAUUUUUCCCAUUUUUAGCAUCUAAAAUUAACCAUUUCCAACCCUUCAAUUGAGGUGGAGAAUCUUUAUACCAACCGAUAAAAGAUCAAGUACAGGAACAAGGUGGAUUAGCGGUCAGUCGCCAAGCCAGUUCAAGAAAGCCAAGUAAAAAAAAAAAUAUUUCCAGGUCUAUCUCAGCUCGUUCAUCAUCAUCCAUGAUCGAUUUCAAGAGCAAACCAUCUUCAGAACACCGUCUUCAUUUCUGGUGUUUCUGUUCAUGCCUCGUAGACUUGGUCUUUAACACUAAUUUCUCUCUGUAGGGUACGGUUGAAGAAAUGCUUCAUCUUUUUGCGGAUUUCGAAUCUGAACUUACUCAUCUACUCUAGAAAUUCAAGCUGCAUUGCAAAAUGUGACUGAUGCCCUUUAAACUGGACCAUUUUCCAAGAUCCUGAACAGAACAAGAAACUCAAGAGAGCCUUGCACCUCGUUUCCACUUACAGGUCUGAAGACGGUUUAGCCACUGGUCAAAUGGCUGCUAUUUCUAACUUUAGGCAGGAGAUUGAUAAACUUGUAGCAAAGUUCAGAAAUUGCAAUGAGGAAACAGUCUGAGAAAGACUUUCAGGAAACAUAUCUCUUGCUUAAGGAGCUGAAAGUAUGUUAGACCAAAUUAGUGGAUUUUAACCUCACAUACUUCUUAAUUUAGAACCUGUAUGAUAAGUAAAUAAGUUUUGUGGAACUAAAUCGAUGGUGUUCGGUCAUGGUAUCCAUAGCGUUGCUUCUUUUUCGGCGCAGACCCGACGCGACUGACAGAUAAGCCGACGUUAAUAGCAGGUCUAAUUCCCCCCCUUUUUUCGUCUAAGUAAGGUGAAUUGGCUUCCUGCUUGACCCGAACCGAAGCAAGUCCUUCUUUCAUUUCUUCGGUGAUUGGCUCUCGUAGCGCUUAGUGUAGUAAGGGCCACUGGCUGUUCUUUCUACGUAAACUUGCUUUUUGGCUUCUUUCAUCAAAGAUAGGUAUGAGCUAAAGGCUUUUUUUUCUCACUAAACCCAUUUCUGAUCUUCUAUUGAAACUUUAUAUUUUCAUUUUCAUUUUCUUUUUAGGAAUUCAAUUCAUGUAUGUUAACUAAAUAAAAUUCUGCCAUUAAUGAAUUCUGUAUUUCAAAUGUCAAAUUCACAUCAUAACAAAAAAAAAAAAGAAAAGAAAAAGGGGACACAGAAAAUAGAAUGGAAAAUAAGAUGAGAUUUCAUUUCCACUCCCUCUUUAUUUUAAUUAUUAACCUUCUAAUUUUUGUUUCAAAAGGAAUCCAAGGCAAGGCAGCAAGCUUAAAGGACUUUAGCUCCAAUGUGAAGCUAACAAGUUGUUCCAAGGUAGGAAUAUCCUUUCAUUUCGAAAAUUGUUAGAUUGAAUAUAAAUCAAGGAUUCCUUUCUUUCAUCUAAGAAAAAACAAAAUCCACUCUCUAUUUCUUUGCAUAUUUCUCCAAUUUUACCCUUCCAUUAUAUAUGUAACCAUUUUGCGAUUCAAUCUACUUGAAUUUUUCAAAUUUACAAAAUGGGGAUGUCCAUGAGUUUCAUGGGAAAAGGUUUUGUGAUCUUCUUGCAAAUUUUUCAUUUUCACAUAGUAAUCUUUUUUGUUUUCCCUUGCAUAUUAAUGGUUUUCUUAAUUCUUGCAUUUGAUUAAAAUUAUUACAUAACAAAUACAAUAAAGAAUUUUUUUUUUUUUUUUUUUUUUUUUUGUAGGGUUGCCUUCAAACCAGAUGGUAGGUUUUGUUAUGGGGACUCUCUACAAGCAAUUUGUGGACCAAGAUAUUAAGAACGUUGAGGAAUUCCACAUGGCUAUUCUUGAUAUCUUCAAGUAAGAUUAUAAAGAAAUUAUUAUUAUUAUUAUUAUUCUUGAUAUCUUCAAAUGAGAGGGUCGGAAUCAAGCCUGGACCUAUAUCAUCACCGUUAAGGUUCCUUACCACCAAAAUCAACAUGAGUUACAAAAAUUAUCUUUUUUUAGGUUGUGAUUAGACCUAAUAAAUAUACAUUAAUUUUUUCAUUCUUGAAAUUUUAUUGCUGUUUAAUUGUUUACAGCGCAUUCAACUCAGCAUUGCCUGGUAAACAUUAUGAUGCACCCUCAAGAAAAGAGAUAGAGGCCAGUGACAUUAACCUUACAAUAUUCUAAUUAAUUAAAUCCCAUUAUCUCAAAUAAAUUUAUAUAAUUAUGUACAAAAAAAUGUUCAAUAUUGCAGGCAUGUUUUAGUUUUUGGAAACAUGCUUCAGAUGCACAAAGAAAAGAACUCUUCAUUGAAUUGAUGAAGAAGAGCGUAAAACUUAGCAAGAUAGAUGACUCCGCCUUGGUCACCGGAGUAGUAACACCACCGGCAGCAAUGGCUGCCAAGAAAGCGGCGGAGAAUUUGCCUCAGUUAAAGAUAUUAAAGGCUGUGCCAGAUGUUGUCUUUGUGCCUGCAGCAACAGUAUUAGCUCUUAUCUCUGCUAAGCUUACAAAAAGGACGUUCUUUGGAAGUUCAGCGUCUCCUUAAUUCUAAAAUAAAUUGUAGUAUGAAUUAUCUUGUAAUAACUAAAUAAAAUAUUAAAAUUUCAAGCUCUUUAUAAUUGCAUUUAAUGUUUUUAAUUUUAUCAAUUAAACGUAUAAUUUUUUUUAUCAUUAAUUUUGCCUCAUUCAUUUUACACAUUGAAAGAUCGAUUUUUGAAGAGAACACAAGAAGAUAUGAGAUAGUACACACCCAUUAUAAAAAUAGACUUUUUUUUUUUUUUUGGUAACGAUUGGAGAGCAAAACUCUAAGUAAACAUUGAAAGUCCAGUAUAAAAAACCUCUUGAAGAAGCCAUUCUGCCAUCCCAGGAGGCGGUUCAUGAGAAGUUGACUCCCUGAUGGAUAAUUUCUUGCGCAUCUAGAAAAGUAAUCCGCGCAAUUGUUCAUUUCUCUGUAAAUAUGUUUGAUCACACAACUUUGAAAUUGUGGGAUCAACUGCUGAAUAGCAAGCACCAGUUUCUGAAUUGCUCUUGAAGAAGAACCAUUGCUUGAAAUGAGUUGGACAGCAGCCAAAUUAUCACAUUCAACUUGGAUAUUUUUCAUCCCUAAACUCUUGGCCAGCUGCAAACCUUCCAGAACUGCCAACAACUGAGCAUUGAAAACCGUACAAGAACCUAUGUUAGAAACAAAGCCUCUGAACCACCUCCCAGCAAUAUCUCGAAUUAAACCUCCACCACAUGCUGAUUGUCCAGUAACAGAAGUGUUAGUAUUGAGAUUGACGCAGUUGCUAGGGGGAGGAGACUAUGUGAGUGAAAUUAAUUCUUUAUUGCACGAAGGAAUCUCGACUUUUUCACGUACAAACUAGUUUCGAAAAUAUUCUUAGCCAAGCAGAACGCCUCCAUUUUCAACCUCUGUAUCGUCACAUGUUCUUCACGAAAGUACCAUCUAUUGCGUGGAUCCCAGAUUUUCCAGCAGCACACUCCGAAAAUAAUAGGUCAAGGGACACUAGAAUGAUGCGUACAGUUGCCGGAAAGAUUAUACAAGAGCCAAUUUUAAUGCAAUAUGUUAACUCAUAUUUCUCACACACGCAUAAACUCCACGUGUGAUUUGGGAUAUGGAAUACCCAACGUUUCUUAAAAUCGAAUUAAAUUAAAUAAAUAAUUAAAUAAAUAAUAUACAUUACCAAAUAUAUCUUAAUUCUACAGCUGAUACAUAAAUACAUUACAGCUUUAAUUUUAUGGCAUUUUAAAUUUUGAUGAGGACCAUUUAUGCUCUUAUUUCUUAUAAAUUUUUGCAAAUCACAUACUUUUCCAUAUCAUCGACAAUUAUCUAUAGGGAUAUUAUUUGAAAUAUUAAUUUGAUUUAUGAUUAGGAUAACUUUAGAAAUAAUGAUUUUUACAUCUUUUAAUUAUAUUUAAUAGAUGUCCGAUCAAUUUAAAUUUAAGUGUUAGUACAUUCAAUAGAAUGAUUUGCAAAUUUUUUAAUCUUGUUGAAGUUUUUAAUAAAUCAAAAUAAAGCUAAAGGUUCCUUUAGACACUUAAAAAAAAAAAAAAAAAAAAAAGUUAAAGCGUCAAUUUAUGCGUUUGGCCUAAUUCUGCAGGUUACUGUUUUUUUACUUUAUUUUAUUAUUAUUAUUAUUAUUUUUUUUUUUUUUUUUUUUUUUUUUUGAAAUGAGAUUUGUGCUUAAAAGGUGCAUAUUUUUUUCAUAUGGUUCAUUAUGAUUAAGUAGAAUAUGCAGGUAUGGUAGUGGCUAAAAGGUAGGUUUUGCGAUUUCAUUUUGCCUCCAUCUCUAUUUCACGUGAAACCAACAAUCUGUGCUAUGUACAGAUUUUCUUUUCUUUUCUUUGCUUUACUCUAUGUCAAGAAAUAUAAUAUAUAGUAUCAACUUUUUUUUUUUUUUUUUUUUAAAAAAUGAAGAUUUUUUAAGAAAUGAAGUAGCAUACAUACAAUUAGAAAUAGGUCAUUCCGCUAUGCAUAUGUCAAUAGUAUAUAUAAGAUAUGUCGGGUAAAAUUAACUGUUUUGUUAGCUGUUAGUUUUUUAAAUAAUGUUGUUUAAAUAAUUUUUCAUAAAACGUUAUAUAAAUUAACUUUUCAUAAAACACUAUCUUAACUUCUAAAAUCUAGUUCAAAGGCUAUAGUACCGAACACUAUAAAAAAUAUUAUUCAAAAUGCUAAAAACUACUUAAAAAGCGGUUGCCCGAACACAGUCAUAGUCUCUUUUAUUAAAUAUUAUUAGUAGCUAUUUUAAUUAGAAAAUACAAGGAAUAAAGAAAAACUCAACUUUAUAUAAACUGAUUAUCAAAACAAAAGAUAGAAUAAAAUGGCAGAUUGAUAUUUACAUAUAUGUUCAACUCAAUUAGUUCCUUAAUUAUGAAUUAAUUGGUAAAUUUUCUUCUUUUCUUUUUUUUUUCAUUUCAUAUUUAUAUGUGUGUUGUAGAUUUAAAUCUUCAAAAAAGAUUUAAAAUUUACAGUUAAACAAUUUUUUGCUAAUUUAAUUCAUUCCCAUGUUCUUUUUUCAUACAAGUUUGAUAUCCUCAACUUUUCCAUGCAUCUCCAAACAAUUCUUACACAAUUUUACUAAACAUGAUAACAAAUACUCUUCAAAUGGAGAGGAAGUCUUUAUCUGCGUAUAAUCAAGAACUAGAAAAGGUAAAACUGAAAUUUAAUAUUAAAAUUCAAAAAGUAGUAACAUAAUUUAGGAGUAGAACAAAAAAUUCAUUUAUUCCAAAAGCAAACGAGAAUUUGUUCAUAUUCAUAAAUGUUUCAAGAAAUAUUAAUCAGUUCAAGGGCACUUGGAUUGACCCUUGGAGUUCUUCUUGUCUCUAUAGCAAGGGCAUUCUGAUUUGUUUCCAUAGGUUCCUGAAGGUACACAUUUGCACUCUUGGCAGCAGAUUCCACAAUACUUCAAGCACCUAUCCUUAUAUCCUGCAUUGCUACACCUUGUCCCACACUUCAAAUCACAAUCACCUAAUAUCACCAAAACAGAAAUAUAAGUACUUAUUUAUUAUUCCAAAAUGGAAAAACCCCAGAAAAAAAAAAUUGAUAUUUGCUUGGCUUAAUUUAAUAAUCUUACUUGGAGCAGCUGUGGUAGGUGGUGGUGCAGCCAUAUAUGGUGGAGCUGAAGCCAUGGCUGUUUGAAGUAAAGAGGAGCAAAGAGCCAGUGAAAGAAUCAGGAAUGAUGCAAGCAAGAGCUUCAUUUUAGUUAUUUUGAUUGAUAUUUUACACUUCAAGAAAUAGUACUAACUAAGGCGAUGAGAAUUAGCUUAGGAAGCUAUGGGCUUGAAAGAAUUCAGAGGAGUAUUUAUAGUGGUGGAUUGAAGGUGGAAGUCAUGUGGAAAUUUGAAGCAAAAGGGUAUUUUAUUAAUAAAAUUAAAAGGCCAAUGAACAAUUUCAUUACAGUCUGUAAUUUAAGGAGGCACUUAUUGGGGAGGGCAUUAUAGAUUUUUGUCUUGAUUAGCUUAUUAUAUUUCUACUCAGGUUUAUGCUAUACAUAGGGAAGUUUGCAAGUACCUUCCUGAGGAAGGAGAUAAUCCUUUUUUAAGGUUAAUUAAUUAGGUUUUGACUAACACUUGUGAAGUUCUGAUGAUUUAUAAAAUUUUAGUACCAACAAUUUGAAAGGGUACAAGCUGUACUGGCUUCUCCGAUGUAGCCCAUUUGCAUAUGUUUAUUGAUCUUUUUUUGCUCUUCCUUUCUGGCUCGCCAGAAUCUCUAUGUAACUUGAAAAAUAAUUUCCAACUUCAAGUUAAAAGGGAACAAAGAAAUGAAAACUGAUAUAGACAGGGAUAGAGAAUCUCAAUUAGUUUGGCGCACAAUUCCAGGCUGUGGCUUCCCCCAACUUGCACUUAUUUAAAUUAUUUCCUUUUUAUAUGUGUGGGAACUAGAGGAGGAAGAGAAUAGACAGGCCCCCGAAGGUUCCAGGAAAUUGGACUCAACCUCCUGAGAUUCCUCUUUAAAUAUUUUGAUGUUCAAAAAAAAAAAAAAAAAAAAAAAAAAAAAAAAAAAAAAAAAAAAAAAAAAUUUUUUUUUUUUUCCCCCGCCGCACAAAGAAAAUAUUUUGUUGCGAAUGAACAAGAUAUUGAGGAAUUGUCCAUAAUUUUACUGUCACCUGAGGAAAAUAAACUUAGAAGCUUAUGAAAAUAAAUUAUAUAGCUACAAGGCAACAAAAUCUAGAAUUCAAUGGCUAAAUGCACAAGAAGUUUCAUUAAUAACAAUGUGAAUUCUUACAGCAGAAUUUUUUAUAUUCAAGCAUGGAACAAUUUAAAUACAUCGGAUUAGUGAUACUGAAGAUGCAAACCUAUAUACGUUUAAACUGCUGAGAGUUGUGGCCGUGAUAAAACAAUAAGGAAGCACGUCUUUGCGAACAGAAAGAACUCAGGCUUUGACAUGUACUAUAAAUUCUUCCCAAUAACUUGCAAAACAAAACAACAUUAAAAUGUCAAUCCACAUAGACACAUGUAUGCCUAUCUAUAUAUGUAAUAUGAUGAAAAAUAAACAAAAAGAUACCAAUGUCAACCUCCCAAACUAGAGGAAGCACGGAUAUGUUGACCAUAAGAAUGUUCUUUGGCAGAGCGACUGGAAGUGAGUAAAUUGACCUGCAGAAGGCCCUCAACAAUUAGAGUUGACAGAAUGACACAAAGGUAGGUAGCAAAGAAAAAUUGGUCAAGAAAGUUACCUUCACGAUGUCACAUUUGGCGCUUGGUCGCCUGGAGGCAGCUAGGACACUCAUGUGAAAUAGCUGUUUUCAAGAACACAAUGAUAAACAAAGCAAUACACGUGAAAAUUUUAUCUAACAAUUAACUUCUACUGUUGUUUGCGGUACUUGCAAUGGAAACUAGUACAAAACUUAAAGAAAGGAUGAACUGGACAUGAAAGCAAAGCAAUGUGAUUUCUGACUCACAGCAGUUAUUAGUUAAUAAAGAAAAGUUAUAUUUUCUUGGUUUGUUGCAUAGGAAAUUACCCUAUAAGGAUCGCUUCUUAAGGACUGCACAAACAGAGAAUUCCCCGAGUCACUAUCCUGCAAUGGAAUAAACACCAGAACUCUUAAACAUGACAAGUCAUAAACAGCAGAAGUGGAUGCAAAUAAAUGCUCCAAAAGGAUAAAACUGAAAUUAAUCAAUAGUCAUGCCUCCAAAUAAACAUCCUUGAGUCGCCUUCCAGUUUGAGCACAGCAGACGCGGACAACAUUUUCAUCACAGCUACCACUUAUGAUGUAAUCCCUCCCAUUCAUGUAAUAGGAGCGAGUAUAAUUAUGAGAACUUCCAGUUGCAGCUAUCUCAAAGUUCAUGUGAACCCUACCAUCUACUGCCAGAAGUUGUUUGACCUGACACAAGUUAAAAGUGGGAUAUUAUCUUGAACUCAGUGAAAGAAGCCAACAAGUUUGUUAUUACUAUGUUAAGGUGGCAUGCUUACAUCCUAAGAGGUAAACAAGGAAUUCUGCUUGAUGAUUAGUAGGGAACAUCUACAGUUAGAUGCGUUAAUGACAUUGGACUAGUGAAAUUAUGCUCAUCUUAUCAAACCCCUUUAUAAGAUUAGGGAGUCUACAUCCACACAAUGAUUUAGAAUUUUUCUUUAUCUAGUACGUUUUAUCCUUGCCCAACUGAAUAUAUACAUACAUAAUGGAUAUGAAAAUACCUCAUUGUCAACAGCUGAAACAAGCAGAUAUUUGUCAUCAGGAGAAAAGCAAACCAUCACAUUCCCUCUUGAACUUGAGGCUGUAUAACAAGGCCUCUCUGGUUUUUGUCUCAAAUCCCAAAGCUUGACAUCAUGGUCAAAUGACGAAGUAGCAAAUAGGAAGGGAGAACAGUGUGCAAAUUUAGCAACAUUAAUGGGUUCUCGAUGCAUAUUAGUAAACAACUGUAUGCGUCUUCUACUACUAAUGUCAUAUAGGGCAACAUCCUUUGAGUACCCACUGGCAAGAAACUGAUCGUCUGUGGAAUUGACAUGAACAGAAGUCAAUGGCUCAAAAUCAUCAAAACUGACCACUCCUGUCAUGCAAUUUAUAUCUGCAACUUUUGGUGGCAUAUGAUUGAUGUCAAACAGCUUCAAGGAACCAUUAUCAGAACCAGCUAGCAACUGUUCAAUGCAUACAAAAAGCCUUCAGCAAAAAUUGAACUUCUAAGAAUCAAAAUGAAGCAAUAAAUUAGAUGUCCUUCCCAUUAUAUAGCAUUUAUGAAUUACUUCCAAAGACAAGUUCUAGCAACAAAUUAUCUAUCCUAUUGAUACAAUUCUAGUAUCUUUUAGGUGUAAGCAUGCAACUGGCUGAUUUCCCUCAUCCAAAGAACAAAUGUAAAAUAUUUCAAGGUUUAAAUUGCUGCGGAAAGUAUACAAGAUACUGCUGUUGGAAAUAUCACCUUGGAAUUCAGGUGUGAUCUUGACCUACAAAGUCAUCGAGUAAAAUAAACCAAAUCCAAAGACAACCGCAAUUUAUUGUUGAACCAUAUUGAACUUACGAUACCAAACACAAGUGCCUUAGAAACAGAUAAAAGAAAAGGGUCGAAAGUGCAAGACAAAAGUAUUACAAGCCUAAAAUGCUUUAUGGAAAUGGCAUACCUUUGAUGGAUACAUUUUGAGCCAACAAAGACCCAGAAUACUGUUCAUUGCUCCACUGGAAGGAACAUAACCAACAGUCUUCCCAUUUUCAUGAUUAGUGACAACUACUUCACCAUCUAGAGUUCCAAAAACCAUAAGACUAGGAUCAGAUGGAUGAUAUUCGAAUUGUCUAGGGCGAAGACGCUUACUUCCUUCUUUAUGCAGAUGGCUCAAGCUAGACAAAGGGUGCAAGAGGGGCCAUGCAACAGAACCCAGCUUGGCAGCACUAAGAGAUCGUGGAAAGAAAAUUUGACUCUUUCCAUGAGGAUAUUGCUUCUUUGUCUUCUGGAAAUUUGGGCAGGCACCACUUGCUCUCAUUUCACGUUUCUGCAGGAUACUGACAAUGCUUUCUUUGUAUUGUCGGUUAUAGGCUAAGUACUCAUAGAAUUUUGAAGAGAUGAUCUUCGCCAUUUUCUUGUCCAGCUUUCCAACGGGCAAAUUAUCUAAAACCUCCAAAUGAGGCAAUGAAGCAAUUAUAUACUCCCUAUAAUGUUUCUCAAAGCAGAUAGGCGAUGGGUGGUGUGAACUGUAAAUGUUGUUUAACUUAGUACAGUUUUUCUUCAAAUCCCACAUGCAUCCACUUGCAAACAACUCAUUUUUGUCUUCAAUCUAUCAUUCGCCAAAAGAAACCUGUUAGACAAACUAAAAAAAUCCAUCACCAAACAUCUAUAUUUCAAACUUUCCCCCUUCUAAGCAUUUAAUAUGCUUACCUCAUUUUGCAACUUGACUUUUCCAUUCAAAUUAGGAAGCAUGCUGGAUGAUAGUUCCAGCAAAUCUAUUCUUUGCAGGCAGCUUGAAAUUUUAUCUUCAGUAGUGACUGAAAAGUUAUCAGUUCCUCCAUUAACCUCAUUACAUGUAAAUGCAUUUUUGGGAGAAAGCAAGUCACAACAUGACAUUGCAUGAGGAGUGUAAAUAGUUGUGUCAGCAGCAUUGACAGGCAGCAGUUCAAUGGAUGAACCUCUAUCCAACUGAUGCAGGACAUUUGCUUUGUUACCAAAUGAUGCAGGACAUGGCCCAGUGUCCUUGCAACACAAGCAAUUUUGGAAUCGUAGUUCUAGCAAAGAAGGAAGUUUCAAUAAGGCAGCAGUGGUUGUCCAGAGAUCAAUCACUCUUGUCUCACACAUUGAGAGACGCAUCAGAUUGGGCAUGGAAGAAAAACAGUCCCUAUGCAAACUAGCGAUUGAAGUGCAAAAAUCCAGAUUUAAGGUGUGCAAUCGCAUAAAACUUCCAACCAUGUUGAGCUUUUGGAUGUGAGUGGACCUCAAGCUUAAAAUUUCACAAGAUAAGCCAUGGUGACUUAGAUCCCUGGAAAGGUCCCACAAACAACGAUGUUAAAAUAUGAUUUAGAUAGAGAAUACUCCACCUUUCUUUUCAUCCUUUUCAAGCAUAGUUAAUUGGUCACUAGACUCACUGCAUGAUAUAAUGUUUCCUUAGCAAAAGAGGAUGCUAUAUGCUUUUCAUAGAAAGACAAAAUUAACUGUCAUGAACCCAGAAAGACACAGGACACAAAUGUUGGGGCUCUGUAAACUGCUGAAGCAGGGUCUUGGGAUCCUAGAUAAGGCCCUCACUUGAGCAUUCAAAUCUUCAUAAUUGUUAACCAAUACAGAAAGUGCCCACUAGCCGUCCUAAUGGUCUUUCCAUCCAGAUUCUAAAAAUAUGACGGCAGUGGUCCUUUUCAAGUUAUUUUAAGUGAUAAUCUCAUCUCUUAAAACUCAUAAAGUGAUUAGAACUUCUAGCAUCACCAUCAUUUUUCUCUCUCUUCAUAUUCUUUUUUCUUUUUUCUCUUUCUUAAGGAAUUCAAGGUUGGGAAAUUGGAAACGGCAGAAAUCUAUCAGGUAAAGGAAAAUAAAAUAUAGAAGAUAAUGCAUUAUGACUAUGGUAAAUGACAAAGACAAUAAGGACAAGCAAUAAAACAGAAUGGUGAUACCAACCAUAAAAAGUCCUCUUCCAAUGACAUUUCCUGAAGAUCAACAACCCGGAGUUUUAGAUGAAUUGCUCGCAACAAGGAAAGAACAUAUUCUUCCUUCAAAUUGCAAUGCGAUUCAUUGACUAUGUCAACUGCAUCAAUGUCAGAAGAGUCUACUGCUAGGAACAUAUCAAUCAGAGGAGGAAUAUCAUCAUUCUUGAGCUGAUUUAGCAAAACCUCAAAGGUACACUUCUUCUGGAAGAACUUCUGUAUUGUGGCCUAAAUAAAAGAAGAAAAGUUAUGCUUGCCACAAAAUAGUUUCUUCAAUGCAAAAACUGUACAAGUUUGUUACUGGAUCAAUCUACCAGCCAGUGAAGCAAAGAUGAUUAAUAAUCAUAGAGAAGAAAGCUAAGUUUCAUUAUGCUAUCAAGUUAGGACCAUAAGUAUUAUUUCAGAGAAAGAAAUGCACCUCCCAAGGCCAAAAAAACAAAAAAAGAAGAAGAAAAAAAAAAAAGACAGCUUGCUGCUUUAGGAGGUGGGAUAAAACUAACUUCAGAAAAAUCCAGUCCAAGCAGCACACAGUGCAACAUAUGGCUCUUUUCUGAAAGAUGGUUUAAGAAUCCCCUCAAUGCAAGCAAAAUGAUUCUAUACUAACAACCAACUUUUAUCCAAAAAAUAUGAUAUUAAUUGAUAAAAACAACAACAAGUGGACAGCCUUAGUCAGUAACAUCAGAUUCCACAAUCUAAAGCAGUCUGAAGGGAUAAAGGCAGAUGAAGGGGGGAGGUGCGUGUGCAAUAUCCUAACAAAGGAAACACUGUUCCCUAUUAAACAUGAGGGGCGGCGCAAACAUUCAUGAAGAAAGUUUAGUUUAAUAGACCUUAGAGAAGCAUGACAGUACGGCAGAAUUGGGUGGCACCUCAUGCCUCCUGCAAGAAUCAAGAUACCUAGCACAAAAAGAGAACGCAAUCUGAGAAUCAAUAAGAAUCUAAAAGUACAAGGAUUCAGAGAGCAAAAGCCACUAUCAACACCAGCAUCAAGAAAUCAAGCUUUUGAAAAUACUUGCAACUAUCAACCAAUGGAACGAGUCCAAACAUGAAAUGUUCUACAAAACAAAAGUAUUUGAAGCCAGAAUACUAAUAAUUCCACAAAUUUACUUUGCCAAAUAUCAAUAAAGGCAACAACAAGACUCAUAUUCUCAUAGAAACUAUAAAAUUUUCUAAAAAAAACUUAAUUGGCCAGUAAAAAGUUCCCAGAAAAUUUUAAUUAUGAUUCUUUUUUCUUUUUUUGGGUAUGUGAAAUUGUACAUUAGUUCAAUCAUUACUAAUCAAUCAAUCCAACUAGCUGACAGUAAUAUUUAGUUUAGUUAAUGUCGCUUUGAAUUUUGAAGAUUCUUCCCGCUACUGAUCAGAGAAAAGGAAUAGAUCAAAGGGAAGGUUAGCUUUGUGAACUAAUUUAUGCAAAGAUACUAGCUUUGAAUCUGAAAUAGAAAAAAAAAUCAUGUUUUGCUUUGUGGGUGUCCACAGAGGAUCUCUCUCUUUUGCUAAUUUCAGUCAUUUAUGUAAAAAAGCUGUAACAAUUGCCAACACUUUCUCUAAGCACUUGCCACCUGCUACUAAUUUUCCUUUGCCUCUUUUGGCUAAUUCCAUUCGUAACUCCCAUCAUUGGUUAACCUCCCAAAAUACCACGUCUAAAUUUCUCUUGAAAGCUGUACCAAACCCACCAAUCCUUUAACUCUUAAAUCCAUGAUUCAGUAGGAAAAAAAAAACAAAACACAGACAAGAAACCAGAAAACCCAGAAGAGAAAAAAAUUAAAGAAAGAAAAAGAUUUAAUUAGAGAUCAAUAUCAUACCGAGCUUCUAAGGUGGAGAUAUCCAUGCAAAUGAUUGGUGACUGUAGCUUUGCUUCUUCUAGUUCUUCACAUUAAUGGCGAAAAAAAUGAAGUCAAUGGAUCUAAGACACGGGAAAUAUUGCUAACAGUGUCAAAAACACAUGUCGAAUGGAUAAGCACACCUGUUCUUAAUUCUAAAUUCUAACAUUACUCAGUGCAGGAAGAGAAAGUGAAAUUUCAACCAAAUAAUAUUCGACAAGAUUACCUUUAGAAGUUAGGACCAUCAUCAAAUGGCCAUUAUGUAUUUGAGUCACGCAAUUAUAAUACAAAUAGUUUUUACAAGUUUAAUUUAUAAUUAUAUUUGUCGUUAUUUAUUUAUUGAAUGAUAAUCUAUUAUUCAAUUUGCUAAAAAAAUGUAUCGUUAGUCAUUGCUAAUUAAUGAUUAACUAUUAUUGGAUUUUGAAAAGCUAUUCUAAUGCUUAAAUUAUUAAAUUCUCCAAUCAAUUCGCAGUUUAAAAAGAUAUUUAAUAUUUUUUAUUUUUAUUAAUGAAAUAUAUCUAUAUACAUUGAAUUAUGUGCGAUGUAAUUAAUCUCUUACAUCCUAUAAAUAUAAUAAAUAUAGAAAGUGUAAGAUAUUUGGUUAGAUUUCUUUUAUUUGGUAAUCUCCUAAAAAAAAAAUCUAUAUAUAUAUAUAUAUAUAUUUUUUUUUUUUAUGGAGGUAAAAUUUAAAAAAAAAUGUGUAAAAUAACUCAACUACCUUUUGUUAUCAUAUGGAAAAAAAUAAUUAAAAUUAAUUUUUUUUAAACUUUGGUAAGGGAACGGAACUGUAAACAUUCUUAAUUAUAUCAAGUGAACACCACCAAGUUAACACAUAAAUAUUAUAAUCUUCAAUCAUUGUAUAAUUUUGUAUAUUAGAAAAUGAAUUAAGUUAAAUUAUUUUAGUGGAUCCUGUGGCUUUUAUUUUUGUCACGAUUUGUCAAAUCAAUGCCCAACUACUAACUAAGAUGUUGACAACAUUGUUAAUAUAAAAAGAUCAUUAAUCAUGUUAGAAAAUGAAAAUAAGCUUGUUAGAAAUAUGUCAAAUAAAAUACUUAUUUCUCAUUUUUUUUGUAUGAAAAAAUAGAGAAGAAAAUAAAUAAAAUUAAUUUCUGAGUAAUAUUUGAAGUUCACCAUCAAAUAAAAUUAGUUGUUUGAUUUGAAUUUGUUCUAAUGAGUUAAUAUUUCCCAACUAAUUAUCAAAUUUCUUUAUCUAUCCCUAGAAGGUGUAGAAUAUGGAAGGAUAAUUAAUUGAAGGUUUUGAUUGGGCCUAAAAAUGAAUGUUAGUAUCUUAGAGAAAAAAAGAAAAAGAAAAAAAAAAGCUCAGUGGUAGAAUAACGGUGGUUGACAACCACAUUUUGCACUGAUCAUCAUCGUCAUCAUCAUCAUUAUGUAAUAAAUGAGAAUAGUGGAUGUUGACAUGACAUUGUGUUUGAGAGUGAAACUCUCUAAAAUUUAAAUAUUUUGUUUUAACUUAGUUAAGAAAAUUUGAAGAUUUUAAAGAGAAAACGUGUCUCCCUUAACUCUUUCUCUCUCUACUUUAUAACUUUUAUGAAUUUUUAAAUAAUACUAACUCAUUUAAAAUUAAUCUCUAAUUUAUAUCUUUUAAAUAUAAUGGCUCUUGAAUAAUAACUCUUUUAAAAUUACUCUCUAAUUUAUUACUUUUAAAUAUAAUGGCUCUUGAAGUUCUCUUAUAAUUUUAAAUUUUCAAUUAGUUCAAUAUUAUUAGGUUAAGAAUGUUAGGAAUAAAAUUAUACAAAAUAAGUUUGAGAUAAAAUUUUAAUAUUGAGUUUGUUGUAUAUUAAUAUUAAUAUUGUUGGUGCAAAAAGGUAAUAAUUAUAUGGAUUUUGGAUCCGCAAAGUAAAAAUUAACCAAAAAUAAAUACUUGCAAUUAAUAUAUUUUUUGCAUGUGCUAAAUUAAUUUUGAGAUAAAAUUUUAGCAUUAAAUUUUUUCUAUAUUAAUAUUGCAAAUGAAAAUAGGUAUUAGCUAUAUGGAGUUUGGACGAGUAAAUGCAGAAAUUGUUCAAAAAUAAAUAUUUGCAACUAGUAUUAUUUUUGCAUGUGCUUUUAUCUAAUAAUGAUGAUAUAACCAUUUUGAUUUGAAUAAACUUUUUUACGUUCUUUAUUUUCGUUCACCUGCUAUCUUAAAAAUCAUGUUUCACCUUAAUUAGCGUAAACAAUUUUAAUUCUACACGAUAAUAUUUAAGUUUAAAUCAUGAAAUAUUAUAAAGCUCUGCGAAACAUAGAAAAUUGCAUAGUUAAAAAUUAAAGUAUAAAGUUAUAUUAGGAAGCCUCCUGUGUUUACUAAUAAUUAGAUAUGAGAAAUGAUGAAAAAGGCUAGGAGCUCUCCUAAUCUAUGUCAUAAUAACUCUCAUCUUUAAGAAUUUUGAUGUAUUUUAAAAAAUAAAUAAAUAAUAACAAUUAGACAAGGAUGAUUAGUUGAUCAUGAACACACGAGUAAUAUAUUAAUUGAAUAAUGACAAUUUACAAUAAUUAUUAUAUAAUAGAAAUAAUUGAAAUAUUAAAAAUUGGUUCCGGUAAUUGAUCAAGUCGACUAAUUCAAUCACGGAUAGCCAGUUCAAUUAGAUUCUCUUUCUUAAAUGAUGCAAAAGCCAAAUGGAUCCAAUUUUAAAAUUAGUUCACCAAAUUUUCGAGUUAAUUUUUUUUUUUUUUUUUUAAGAGAAAAUUAUGCUUGCACCUUUUAGUUGCGUUGAAUUUAAAGUUUGGUUAAAUUGCAAUUAUACCAUAAUAUUUAAAGCUUCUUUAAGGAAAAACUGAAGGUUGGGAAGUUAAAAUGUAUAAGGUUGAAUUUCUCUCCACACCUUAAAUAAUAAAGUUGUACUAUAAUAUUAUACUCUCUUUAUCCAAAUUAUAAUAAACUCAAAAUAACUUACAAAAAAAUAUUUAAUUUAAUAUAAAUAAUAAUAUGAUUAAAAAAAUAUUUAUUAAUUUUUUAAAUAAUCAAUACGUCUUAUAUUUUAAAAUAAAAUAAUCGCAAUUUAUAUUUAGUAGGGCAAAAAAAGUGCUACCGUUGCCAAAGGAUAAGAUUGAAGCUAAUUAGGCAAAACAUUUACACGCUUUGGUCAAAAUCCUUAAGUACGCGGCUAGCCAAUAUGGAAGCACCCAAACUAUUAACCAGUCUUUCACGUGUGGUCGCGCAAGUCCGUGCGUGUGCGCGCAUGCGCAUGCUUGUGUGUGCGUGUGUCCAUGAUUAUAUUUAGCUUGGUUUGGUAGGAUGAAUAUUGCUACUUUAAAAAAAUAAAAAUAAAAAUAAAAAUUGAUUCAUAUAAUAAAAAAAUUGAGUCAUUUAAUUGAAUAAGAACAUAAAAAUCACACUCUCUCUUCCUUCGUGAUUUACAAGAUAUUUAUGAAAGAAACAAAAAUAAGAAUUUGGAGGAGAAAGCAAGUUGUAGAAAAAGACAGAGAUGCAAGAAAGAAAACUUGUGAAGCACGUGUGCCACCCAAAGGAAUAUCUUAUGGAAAUUGAAAAGGAUUGUACAUUGGCUAACGAAUAAUUAGGCAAUUAGCCUACUAUGAUGGCUUAAUUAAAUUAUUAAUUGACUCGGUAAACUGAUCAAUUAACAAGUAAUUAUAAAAUAGUGGAUCUCCAUUUUAUACUUUUUCUUCUCAUAUACAAUUUUAAAUUUCUACUCAUCAUUUUAAAUUUGGUAAACGGCAGUGGAGUCAAUAUAUAAUUAAUUUUGAAAUGAUAUUCAUAUAAUAAUCAAAUAAGUUCAAAUUAAGUAAAAAUCUAAUUAAUUAAUUAGUAACUUCAAACAUAUACUACUAACCAUUUUGUUUUAGAUUAGUUCAUGAGAAAUUUGUAUAUCUAUAUUGAACUUGAAAUAAAAAUAAAGUUCACUCUUUAUUUAGCAUAGUAUUUUACCCUUUUUGUAAAUUUUUAUUUUUUUUUUCCUUAUUUUUUAUAUUUUAAUUCAACCACUUAAGGUAUCUUUAAAGUUUUAAAAUUAAUAUUUUUUUAUAAUAAUUUAUAUUGAUAUCUAUAUUUUUAAAUCCAUAUAUCUAUGUGUAUUUAUAUCCACACAUAUUUUAUAUAUCAAUUCAUAUCUAAAUCUAUAUAUCUAUAUUAAAGCUGAAUAAAAAAAAAGUUAUAAAUUCGAUUAUCCUUUUUCUUAUAUUCUUUUCCUUUAAAAUUUUUUAAAUUAUUUCUUUAUUUUUCUAUAUUUGAUUGAGCUAGUUAACAAUAUUUUUAAAAUCUUUCUAUCUAUUCAAGCCAAGAUAAAGUAAAAGUUCAAAAUUUGAUUUUCGCUUCAUUUAGUAUUUUGCUUUUUUCUUUUCAAGAAAGUUUUUGACUUUUUAUUUUUAUGUAUUUAUUUUACCGUCUAGGAUAGUUUUUUAAAGUUUAAAAAUUGUGCGUGUGUAUGUGAGAGAGAUAUAUAUUAGGAUGCUUUGUUAAUAUUAUCAUGGUUUUAAUAAAUGAUAUGUCAUUUGUGUCACGUGUAUAGUAAGUACUCUCUUAAAAAAAAAAAAGUUAUUUAUAAUAAUUACGAAUGAAAAUCUAAUAUAUUAAUUAUAUAUCAUUAAAAAAAUACUGAAAGUUCAUAGCUAGUUCUAUUUGUUGGUUUUUAAUAUUUAAAAUUUCAAUUAUUAUAUUAUUUUGAGAUAUUUAUUUAUUUAUUUUUUUGAGUAUUGGGGGAGAGGGAUUUGAAUCCAAAUCUAUUGCUGGGUCGUAUAUGCACUUAUCACUAGAUUAGGAUAAUAAUUAUUUAAGUUUGAAAGUUACUAUUUAUUUAUAAUAAUAUUAGAAAAAUAAUCAUAUUAAUUAAGUCAAAAUUAAAAAAUGUCAAAACUGCCCUCCCUUUAAUUUUACAAUUUUACUUGCAUUCUACUCUAUAGAGUAAAGUAUUCAGUUUCUUGAUUUUGAGCUUAAAUGCACUAAUUACGCUGUAUUUAAUUAGCUCUGAAACUGAAAGUUUUGUUUGAAAUUCUUGUCCUUGAUUUUUGCCUCAGCUGAAACAGUAUAUCUGCUUGGAUUGAAAAUACAAAAGCCUUAUACCCAAUCAUAUUGGGCUUAGCCCAUACAUAUCUAUCCAACUCCAACAUUAACCCUUUCGAGAUCAUUAACAUGAUUGGAUUUGGCUCAAUAUCAUUAUUAUCGGUAGAGAUGUCAUUUUCAAAACAAAAGGGAAAAAGAUACUCGAGCUUCUCAAGUUAGUUUUAGGAUUAUACAUUUGUAAGUUCAAAACUAAUCUAAACUUAGUUAAUCAAAUUGAGGUUUUAAUUUAUUUUUUUGUCUUUCCAAAUUAAUCCUACCAUGCUCUAGUCCAGGAGCACAAGGGGGAAUAAUAAAUUCAAGCUUCCUCCUUUCAAUUUUAAAAGAUAUUCCAUAUUAUCAUAAUCUUUUUUUCGUUAAUUAUGAUUUUCAAACUAUUUUUGAUUUGAGAGAGAAGAGAAAGAACCCACUAUCCAAAAGAAAAACUAUAUAUUAGAGAUUAAAUUAGGAAAGUAAGAACUAUAUCGUAUCAGUUUAAAUGGGUAGAGUAAGGCCAUAAAUGAUUUAUAUAAUUAUCAAUGGCUUAAAAGGAAUGAUAAAAAUAGUUGUACUACUAAUAUAAGAAAAUUUUAUGAUUUUAUCAUUAUAUUUUGUCAUAAUAUAUAAAUUGCUUGCAUUUUUCAGAAAUGCAUACUUUUGUUUUUAUCUUCUCUAUUUCUGUCGAUUUUUUAUACUUUUUUUCGUCAAUAAAUACUACUAUGUUUUUCAUAUAUUUUGUUAAAAUUUACAAUUUAUCCAUUUAUGUAUCAAUUAUUGUCUACAUAUUUCGCUAAAAUUAAGUAGCAAAAUUAAGUAAUUAUCCCUAUAUUUAAUAGAAGGUAGAAAAAAUUAACAUAAGAUACAUCAGUGUGUAACGGAUGAGGUAAAAAAUAUGGAUAAAAUUAUAUAUCUCUAAAUAAAAAAUAAAAUUAUUCGAAUCCAAUCGAUUACAGAUGUUUUUAUCAAUUUAAUAAGCAAGAGGAAAACUACCCCUACCCUUAUUACAUAAUGCAAAUAUUAAACAUUGCUUACCAAUAAUAAUACAUAUUCUUUGUAUUGGAUGCAGAUAAAAGCUUUACCUCAACAAAGAAAAUCUUUAACACCAAAAUGGUAGGGCUCUGACCAAAUGCCAGAAUCAAGAUAAACAAUCAUGCCAUCAAAUCAACUUGCUUUUCUUUCUUUUCUUUUUUUCCAUAAUUACCUUGCCCUUCCUUUUCUCUAUCAAACUGUAAUUUUUAGAUGACAAACAACCAGAGAUAACUACUCUUUUUUGUUUCUCUCUUUUAAUCUUUUGUUAGUUUUUAACUGAAACAAUUAAAGAAUAAAGCCAAACAUAUGAAAAAGCAAACGCAAGAACAGGCUGUUAAGAAAAGAAAGAAAGGAAAGAACAAAAGAGAGGCUCCCAAUAGAAUAAUCCAAAAUAUAUAAAAUGACAGUGAAUAGAAAACUACAAAAAUACAGAGUUUUUCCCCCCACACAGCUCUCCCUCCCUGUCCCUCAAAGAAUACUGAAUACAAAGCAAAUGUGGUUAAUCCCCAGGCAGAAAAAACCAAACCACUGGCCAGUAAGAUAUAGCAAUAAUUUAACAAAACAAUGGUAAUCAAAUAAAAAUAUCAAAUGGUGAGUCCGUAAAUAAAGAAGAAGAGCAUGUGGGGGACAAAAGAUUAAAAUAAUUUAACACCAAUAGCAAUAAUGGACAUUAUAAAACAUAUCUCUCUGUUUUGAUCUCUAGAAGAUCAAAGUCAUUGCUGCCCAUCCCAAUGCCAAGCCUCCGAGCAUCUUCUGUACUGACCUUAUCGAUUCUGAUCCGCUCUGCAAUUUGGAUCAAAAUUCAUUUUCAUAAUCCAGAUGUUAAGAAGAAUAAAUAAACUUGCAUAAAUUUCUACUUUAAUAAUUAUUCACGAGAAUGUUGUUGCCUCUCCCCGUUGGGAAGUUAAUGAUCUGAAAUUCUGAUGUUGAAAUUUCAAUGUUCGGUUUAGAGAAACAAUAAAUACACAUUCAUUAGAAAACCAUUAGCUUGAGAAUUAUUCGAUUCAAGAUAGAUCCUCCUUACGGGAAGUGAAACCGCUUUGUGCCAUAGAUUUUUAUUACUAUUGCAUUAAAACCUUUCAUCAACAGUUAUAAUUUUAUUAAUUAAAAGGACUUGCCCACUGUACUAAUAAAAUUAAUCACCUCCACAUUAAUGUUCUGCAGAUCCACGGAUGACACAGUGCAAUUCACUGUCAUUUGUACUACAGUGAUGGGGCGUGAAUCUUACGCGCCACAGUGUCGCGUUCAUCUCACUAGAGACAAGCGCUUACCACCAGAAGCAGUACUUGAGAAGCGCCAAGCUUUGCUUCCACUAAGCAGUUAUAAGGCAGCACCGACAUUUAGCAUUUCAAUAAUGGAUUAACUUGAGGGGCAAUAAUCCGGUCAUUUUAGGAAAUUUAAGCAUUCUUCACUAAUUUAGGCUCGGUGACCACUAACGAUAUCUAGAUUUUUUUCUAGUGCUAAAGAGGGAAAACACAGACCAUGGAUCUUUGCAUUAAACUUCAGAUCUGGAGGUGCAUUGCACUCCAGCGCAUGUCAGAUGGUAAGCCAAUCGGAAAAACAACUAAAACGAGCACUGGAAAGUAGAAAGUACCUCAUCGGCCACAGAAGCGGGACCAGGAGAGCUGGCGUCAAGGCUCGGUCCAGGUGCCUCCGUCGGUGGAGCUGGUGGACUCGACAACUCCGGACCAGGAGCAGGUGAAGCAGCGUGCUUCUUCGACUUUUUCUUGGUUGGAGUCGGUGCAGGAACCUCGGCGGUUGGCGCAGCCACUGGAGCUGAAGGAGCAGUUUCCGGAGGAGAGCUUGUUGGUGGAGUAACUGGUGCUGGUGAUGGAGGAGAUUGGGCCGGAGAUUUUGCUGGAGUUUUUGCUGGAGGAGAGCUCACUGGAACUGCAACAGGUGGUGAACUAAUAGGAGCGGCGGCAAGUGGUGGUGUAGCUACCGGAGCCGCAGCCGGAGCUGGCACCUUCUGUUUGGUCGGAGAAGCUGCUGGUGUCUUCGCUGGUGGUGAAGACACUGGAACUGCAACAGGAGCAGGCGAUUUAGAUUUUGCUGGUGCUUUAGCAGGUGCAGUUACAGGCGCUGCAGGAGCCAACGGAGUAGCAGUCGGUGCUGCACCUGGAGCUUGGCCGCCGACGCCGGCGACAAUGAUGCACAUUAAUGCAACAGAAAAAACGCUUUUGCGAUCCAUCUUGGCAGAGGAGAGA
rnacentral:lncRNA from 1 species